GACGUGACUUCAGAGUUUGAUCCUGGCUCAGGAUGAACGCUGGCGGCGUGCCUAACACAUGCAAGUCGAGCGAGAAACCCAUGAUCGAAACUUCGGUUGAUUGAUUGGGCGGAAAGCGGCGGACGGGUGAGUAACGCGUAGGCAACCUGCCCCUUGCAGAGGGAUAGCCUCGGGAAACCGGGAUUAAAACCUCAUAAUGCAUCGAGAAGACAUCUUCAUGAUGCCAAAGAUUUAUCGGCAAGGGAUGGGCCUGCGUCUGAUUAGUUAGUUGGUGGGGUAACGGCCUACCAAGGCAGCGAUCAGUAGCCGACCUGAGAGGGUGAUCGGCCACAUUGGAACUGAGACACGGUCCAA
rnacentral:rRNA from 1 species